GCCGGGAUAGCUCAGUUGGUAGAGCGCUAGAUUUGUAAUCUUGAGGUCACGGGUUCGACCCCCGUUCCCGGCUCCA
rnacentral:tRNA from 1 species